GCGCCUGUAGUCCCAGCUACUCGGGAGACUGAGGCAAGAGAAUGACGAGAACCCGGGAGGCAGAGCUUGCAGUGAGCCGAGAUCGCGUUGCUGCACUCCAGCCUGGGCGACAGAG
rnacentral:snoRNA from 1 species